AGGGCCAGCGGGAGAAGGAGGAGGAGGAAAAGAGAAGGAAAAGGGGAAAGAGGAGGAGCGCGCGGUAUGCAGGGGCGGUGAAGCGCGGGUCGUCCCUCCCGCUCCAGCCGUCUCCCUCUGCCUCUCCCGCUCUGCCCCACCCCGUCCGCCGGGCCGCGAGGGUCGUCCCGGGUCCGGGAAGGCCGAGGAGAAGGAGGAAAAGCCUGUCCGGUGCUGGCCUGGCCUCCAGCGGCUGGCGAGGCCCCUGUCCGAGUGGGACGGACGCACUCGGGUCUUCCCGUGGCUCUUUCACAGAAUCCCAGGAUAUUUGAUGUUAGAAGGAACCUCUGGAGAUCAUCCAGUCCAACCCCAGCCCAGUCAGGGUCUUCUGGAGCAGGUGACACAGGGACGUGUCCAGAUAUCCUGUAGCAUGGCAGGUGAAGAAGAUUUCUUUUUGGAAGAAAAAAGAUUCAAGCAGCACUGUGAAGAAUUUGUUAAGCAUUCACAGCAGAUAGGAGAUGGCUGGGAGUGGAGAACUAGCAAGGACCUUGGUGAUGGUUAUCUUAGUAAAACACAUUUCCAAGUAAGAAAUAGACACAUCCCACAAGAUCUCAAGGAGAAAACCAAUGAUAACAUUGAACAAAUGUUACUUGCACAUGUUGAAGAGUCUUUGGAUGAUUCUCAAGUAGCUGGAGUUUGUACAACAGAAGAAGUGAUUCGUUAUGAGUAUCAUGUCUUGUACUCCAGCAGCUACCAAGUACCUGUGCUUUAUUUCAGGGCAUGCUUUUUAGAUGGAAGACCUUUAACUCUGGAGGAAAUAUGGGGAAGUGUUCAUGCAUGUUACCAGGAUCGUCUGCAGGAGGGGCCCUGGGACACCAUCACACAGCAGAUAUUCAGAAGUGGAAUUGCAGAUAUUGCAUGCCUUUCUCCUGAACAGCUUACUUACAGCUUGGAGCACCCCAUCCUUGGGCAGCCCUUUUUUGUUCUGCACCCCUGCAGAACUAAUGAAUUCAUCUCCACUGUGCUGACUGGCCCAUGGAAACACAACAGGCACAAAAAUUACAUUAUUCUGUGGCUCAGUACUGUAGGCCCAGUUGUGGGUCUCAGUGUGCCUCUGAGUUAUGCAAAAGUAGCACCUGAGCAGAAUUCAAGCACUGAUUCAGCUGAAAGCAAUGAGAAUUUGUGCUAAGAGAGAAGUGCUUGGACAUUGCUGACACCCUCCAUGAAUGCCAGGAGGCCCCUGAUGUCCUGUGGUCUUCCUCAGAGCUCUGAACUGAUGGACAGGUGAUGGUGAGCUGCUGCAGGCUCCCCUCGGGGUGAAGUCAAAGGGAUCCUUCCUGGCUGGUAGACAAUGCCGGUGUGGAAAUGAUUGUUCACGGCUCUUUCUCUGGCAAGAAGUGGUCAGAGAAUUACAGUGGAAGACUUAAUUGUUGGCUGCAGUUGUGGCAACACCUCUGCAGCACCACCAAGACCUGAACUCCCUUGUGACUGCAUUAGCCCUUGAAGUCAUUUUUCUACCACCUCCUGUGCUUGUGGCCUUGGAGAGGCUGCACAGAGAGGCACAAGCCUGUGGUUCCUUAAUAAAGGGUAGUGUUGCUGGGUUUGGAUCUACUAAAAACUAUCUCUAGAAAACCUGUGAGGUGGCAAAUGCAAAACAUACACAGCAAAGUGCCUGUGGGACGUGGUGUGAGCUUGUGGCACCCAGUGCAUGGGCUGAGACUGCUUCACCUGGGAACCACCUUCUGCACCACAGCCUGAGGGAUGGACCCCCUCAUGUCCCACACCACACGGAAUCCUCAUCCUGGGACUGAGAAACGCUUCUCUGAGAAUAUUGCAGGGAACAAACAGGAUCGGAAUUGUAACAAACAGGGAACUUGGAGCCUCCCUGUGAGUGAGCACCUUCAGUUCUGGAGUUCAGGUGGCUGAUGCAGCUGUGUGAGAACAUCUGGCUCUUCCAUGGCCUGCAGAGGAAGCUCUGCCAUUCCCUGUGGGAAUGACUGUUCCACUCAAUUAGUGUUUCUCAUUGUACUCCUGGCUGUUCACAGGUUUAUUCCCUACCCUGCUGUUUGGAGAGUUGCAUGGUGGUGCUGCCACUGAAAACCACAUUGCAGGUAACUUCCACACAACCCAUCCUGGCUCCUCUUCCCAUCUCAUUUUAUUUGUAGUGUAAAACAGAGCCCUGGGAUGGAACCACAGGUUUUACUUUACACGUUCAGCAAUGUGUCACUUGCACCUAGAGCCCAGUGUGUGCCACAUGAGGGCUGGGAACCUGGUAUGCAUCAGGUUCCAGAUUCUAGGCUUUAAACUUACAUCAUGUGUCUUUAUUGGACAAGAAAUACAGAGUGCAGUCUCUAAAAUUCCAUUGGUGUGAAUUGUUUUGCCAGCCAUUUGGAAUUAAUAAUGAAAGCACAUCAUUUAUCUUGUUCUGGAUCAUAACAACCUGAAAAAGCCAUUUUUCCAUGUGAGAUUUAUAAAAUGCAGCCAACAGCUAAGUUGCUUUUUUUAACACUUCUGAUAGCACAUGCUUGGUAAUUGCAUCAGUGGCCCACUUUUAAAUUUCAGCGAGACUUAAACAGGAGGAAAAACCAACAAAAAACAGAUAACAGCAGUUUUAAGAGCUGCUAAAUGUUCUUCCCUGCUCUGUGAUCUUCAUUUGUGAUACCCUGGAACAGAGGAGUGGGAGCAGCCAGCCUUCAAAAAGUGGAAUUUGUAUAUGGAGGGAAGUAAAUAUUUUUUCUCUUACAUGGAAAAAGUCUCAGUGACCAUUCUCACUGAUUCUAAACCUCUUAACAGCAUAAACAACAAGGUAACAGAGCAGUGUCAUCAUCAGCAGCAAUAUUUCUCUGAAAUUUCUCUAGAAAACCAAAAUUCAGCUCAGUUACAGAUACACUGAGCUUAGAUAGAGGAAGAAAUACAGGAUAACAUAAAUAUUUGUGAUUGAGAAGAGAUCCUGUUUGGAUGUCUCCUUUUUAAUGGCUGAAGUAGGUAAUUGGGAGGUAGGGACCCAAUUUACUGUUUUACAUUUAUGCUUUGAUGACUUAGGAUAUUUUUAACAGAAUUUUUAUGUACCAAAAUUCUGAUUUUUUAAAAUUUUUUAAAUCAAGUGAAUUGUGGCACUGUUUUGUGAUUUUACUUACCAAAUCUGAUGAAUAUUCUUACAUCUGAACUUGGGGUUUGUCUACAUGCGUUAUCUGCUUACGAAGAGAAAAUUUCCAGUUCCAGAGAGUUUUGUACAUUUGCUCAGUUGCUCAUCCUUGCUAAUCUGGGAAGAUACAUUGAGAACCUUUGCUUCUGGGGACUUCUUUGAAGAGAACAGACUCUUGUAACCCUUGGUUACAGGAAUCAGCAAUAAUUAUUAUUUUUAUGUAUUCACUUAAGCCAAAAAAUGUGUUUUCCUGUGUAAUGCAGCUGCUCACUUACCUACAUAAUCCUUCAUUUGUGUCAGCAUGACCAGGUAAGAAUUCAACCUCCUGCUGGGAGGUUUGAGAUUGGUUGGUUUUGGUUACUAACAGGAACAUUCCUUUCCAUGCAGUAAAUGUCAAACUAGUUAGUUACAGCUAAGUACAGUGAUGUAAUCAAUUCUUGUUGUAACUCCAUGAAUUUCACCAAAACUGUCUCAGUAACUUUUUUCCCCCCCUUUUUGCUGUGGUGAUGGUUUCAUGAGUUUGUUUGGACAUCUGUGUUUAUAUUACAUACAUGUAAAUUCAAUACCAGCACAAAGAAAGGAUGUUUGCUCUUCCCUCUGAACGGUGAACUUAAAAUUGUUUCCUCAAAAAUUCUCUCUUCUAGA